UUUAAAUAGCCGCAUCUGUGCUAAGGUAGCAUAAUCAUUUGUCUUUUAAUUAAAGACUAGAACAAAAGAUUUAACUUUUAAAUUUAUAUCUUAAAUUUAUAUAUUAAAAUUAUCCUAAAUGUAAAAAGACAUUUAUAAAAAAGAAAGACGAUAAGACCCUAUCGAACUUAACUUUAGUUUAACUGGGGUAGUUAAUUAAUUAUCACUUUAAUUUCAAUAAACAAAAAAAAUUGACCUAAUACAAUUAAUUCCAUAAUCAAGUUACCGUAGGGAUAACAGCGUAAUAUAAUUUUCAAGAUCUCAUUAAAAAUUAAGAUUGCGACCUCGAUGUUGAUUUAAUCUUCCUAAUUUACGCAAUAGUUAAUAAAGGAAGUCUGUUCGACUUUUAAAAAAUUACAUGAUUUGAGUUCAGACCGGUGUAAACCAGGUCGGUUUCUAUCUUCUUUAUAGCUUCUUCUAGUACGAAAGGACCUAAGAAAAUAAAUAAAUU
rnacentral:rRNA from 1 species